GAGGGUAUAGCUCAAGUGGUAGAGCACAUGCUUAGCAUGCAUGAGGUCGUGGGUUCAAUCCCCAGUACCUCCU
rnacentral:tRNA from 1 species